rnacentral:tRNA from 4 species
CGAAGUGUGGCUCAGUUUGGUAGAGCGCUGCGUUCGGGACGCAGAGGUCGCAGGUUCAAAUCCUGUCACUUCGACUA